rnacentral:rRNA from 1 species
UACGUAGGGUGCAAGCGUUGUCCGGAAUUAUUGGGCGUAAAGAGCUCGUAGGUGGCCUGUCGCGUCGGCUGUGAAAACUCGGGGCUCAACUCCGAGCUUGCAGUCGAUACGGGCAGGCUAGAGUUCGGCAGGGGAGACUGGAAUUCCUGGUGUAGCGGUGAAAUGCGUAGAUAUCAGGAGGAACACCGGUGGCGAAGGCGGGUCUCUGGGCCGAUACUGACACUGAGGAGCGAAAGCGUGGGGAGCGAACAGG